GAUGAACGCUAGCGGCAGGCUUAAUACAUGCAAGUCGAGGGGUAGCAAGAUUGUAGCAAUACAAUUGUUGACGACCGGCAAACGGGUGUGGAACACGUACACAACCUUCCUACAAGUAGUGAAUAGCCCAGAGAAAUUUGGAUUAAUACCCCGUAACAUAGCGAUGUGGCAUCACAUUGCUAUUAUAGCUUCGGCGCUUGUUGAUGGGUGUGCGGCUGAUUAGAUAGUUGGCGGGGUAACGGCCCACCAAGUCUACGAUCUGUAGCGGGUCUGAGGGGACGACCAGCCACACUGGGACUGAGACACGGCCCAGACUCCUACGGGAGGCAGCAGUGGGGAAUUUUGGACAAUGGGGGCAACCCUGAUCCAGCAAUGCCGCGUGAAGGAAGAAGGCCUUCGGGUUGUAAACUGAUUUUGUACGGAACGAAACAGUCUGGGUUAAUACCCUGGGCUAAUGACGGUACCGUAAGAAUAAGCACCGGCUAACUACGUGCCAGCCGCCGCAGUAACAC
rnacentral:rRNA from 1 species